rnacentral:rRNA from 1 species
AUUGAACGCUGGCGGCAUGCCUUACACAUGCAAGUCGAGCGGUAACAGGUCUUCGGAUGCUGACGAGUGGCGAACGGGUGAGUAAUACAUCGGAACGUGCCUAGUAGUGGGGGAUAACUACUCGAAAGAGUGGCUAAUACCGCAUGAGAUCUACGGAUGAAAGCAGGGGAUCGCAAGACCUUGUGCUACUAGAGCGGCCGAUGGCAGAUUAGGUAGUUGGUGGGAUAAAAGCUUACCAAGCCGACGAUCUGUAGCUGGUCGGAGAGGACGAUGAGCCACACUGGGACUGAGACACGGCCCAGACUCCUACGGGAGGCAGCAGUGGGGAAUUUUGGACAAUGGGCGCAGGCCUGAUCCAGCAAUGCCGCGUGCAGGAUGAAGGCCUUCGGGUUGUAAACUGCUUUUGUACGGAACGAAAAGCCCUGGGUUAAUACCCUGGGGUCAUGACGGUACCGUAAGAAUAAGCACCGGCUAACUACGUGCCAGCCGCCGCGGUAAGAC